rnacentral:rRNA from 1 species
AAGCUCGUAGUUGAAUUUCGGGGUCAGUAGGUUGGUCAUGCCACUGGUAUGUACUGGUCUCACUGAUUCCUCCUUCCUGAUGAGCCGUAAUGCCAUUAAUUUGGUGUUGCGAGGAAUCUGGACUGUUACUUUGAAAAAAUUAGAGUGUUUAAAGCAGGCUAACGCUUGAAUACAUUAGCAUGGAAUAAUGAAAUAGGACGUUCGAUCUUAUUUUGUUGGUUUCUAAGAUUGACGUAAUGAUUAAUAGGGAUAGUUGGGGGCAUUAGUAUUCAAUUGUCAGAGGUGAAAUUCUUGGAUUUAUUGAAGACUAACUACUGCGAAAGCAUUUGCCAAGGAUGUUUUCAUUAAUCAAGAACGAAAGUUAGGGGAUCGAAGACGAUCAGAUACCGUCGUAGUCUUAACCAUAAACUAUGCCGACUAGGGAUCGGAUGAUGUUAAUUUUUUAAUGACUCAUUCGGCGCCUUACGGGAAACCAAAGUGUUUGGGUUCCGGGGGGAGUAUGGUCGCAAGGCUGAAACUUAAAGGAAUUGACGGAAGGGCACCACCAGGGGUGGAGCCUGCGGCUUAAUUUGACUCAACACGGGGAAACUCACCAGGUCCAGACACAGUAAGGAUUGACAGAUUGAGAGCUCUUUCUUGAUUCUAUGGGUG